GCCCAGGUGCUGCUGGAACCGCCCGACAUUAAGGAUUCAGUUCUUUUCCUGUCAGUUCCUCCCAGCCCGGCCCCCCGGCGCGUCUGAUCUCUGAAAACGCCGGACUGCCUCCGGCCUACGAAGGGUUCUACCUGGAGGGCGCUAGUAACAAGCCUGCCUGUCCCAGCCCCCGGAAUCGUUAUCCCCCGAGGAGGAGGGGCGGUGGUGGCUGGAAUAAUUACAACAAUACAGUCGAUAACAAUAGCCGGCAAUUAGCGCGGCCCCCAUCUGCCAGCCAGGCACCCGCACGCGCCGGCGCAGUCGCUCCUUCGCGCGCCGCCCGGAGCGCAGCCUCUUGCAGGCUGAUUGGACCUGGAGGGGUGCUGGCGAGUCGAGGGAGUUAUGUUUGUGGGGGUCGGAGGCAGUGACCGGGGAGAAGGGCCGGACCCCUGGUUGGCGUGAGACCGGAAUCUGGACCCCUAGCUCACCCCCGUCUCACCGGAAACUCAACCAACCCAACAUCUCACCCUCAAAGACUGCGGGAGGCCUUGGGCCAGCGGAGACACGCGUCCCUGCCCCGGGUCUCUCAGCGUCCGGGCCGGGGAGGCGGAAACCGGUGGGCCGUGCCCCGGGCGCCUGGAAGCCUUCAAAGCUGCGCGCCUCCCGCCGGCUGCAGUGCGCGCCUUUGCCCGACAGGGACCAGCACCGCUCCACGCGCCGCGCGCCUGCCCGCUCGCCCUCCGGAGCCCAGGCUGCCGGGCCGCGAGCGGUCUGACCCCCUUCGGAAAGUGAACGGACUGCCUGCGGCCUCCGCAGCACGGUGUAGCUCCCACCCUAUCCCCAUCCGGACAGCAGAAGCUGCUCUAGAAGUUGGUCUGGGGCGGAGACCGUCCCGGAUCCGAGAGGAAAAAUAAAACACUAGAUUCGUUUGAGAGGUGGCCUCAGUUAGAGGGUUGCGCGCUUUUCUGAGCACCUUCCCAGUCGCUGGCCUC